rnacentral:rRNA from 1 species
CCUACGGGGGGCAGCAGUGGGGGAUAUUGCACAAUGGGGGGAACCCUGAUGCAGCGACGCCGCGUGGGUGAAGAAGUAUUUCGGUAUGUAAAGCCCUAUCGGCAGGGAAGAAUUUAGACGGUACCUGACUAAGAAGCCCGGCUAACUACGUGCCAGCAGCCGCGGUAAUACGUAGGGGGCAAGCGUUAUCCGGAUUCACUGGGUGUAAAGGGAGCGUAGACGGCCAUGCAAGCCUGGAAUGAAAGCCCGGGGCCCAACCCCGGGACUGCUCGGGGAAC